AAUGACGUCUGUUGUAUGGCACCCUCAGGUUGUCCGGCACCCCGAUUUUAUUCUCCAAGAGACGAAAUUGAAGACUUUGGAAGCCAGAGGCCGGAGACAAGUACUCCCUGCACAAAUACAAACACACAAAUAGUCUCCAUAGAUGAUACCUCCUUUGCUGGCCUUGUUAACACCUACUUGAGAGGCAUCUUCAUCGUCUUCUGUUUUGGGAGGCUUGUUUUUGAAUAACCUGCGAUUUGAAGAGGUCUUUGUUUUCCAGUUGAAUAUAAAGUCCACAAGUCGUCAGCUGAAGGUCAGAGGCCGCGCAGAUGUCAGGUCAUUUGAGCCCAGGAAGGUGGAAACGAUGCCGUUCUGGUCCACCUUACGAAUUGUCGUGCCAUCAACAAAAUAAAUCAGGCCAUUCUUGUCUACGGCGAUGCCUGUUGACAUCAGCGAGGGACGAACAAUCAUCUGAAACGACGAAAGUCAAAGUAUCCCCUUGAAGAAUCAACAAGGCCACAAGAGAAACUCACAUGCAAAGACAAUCUGUUUGGCAGAGAGUGGAGAGGCGAGACUGUGGCUGUUACAACCCACAGAGAGGAAAAUAUGGACUCGGAUCUCCAUAAAGCUUCAUCCUGAAUUACCACUGCUUUUGUCAAUUUGACCACUCGUAUUGAAAUAUUGAUUCCACCAGUUGUUGCACUUGGCCACUGAAGCCAGAAUCUAAAUACUGAAUUUACUUUUGCACCAGUAGGGUUAAGGCAAUUACACGCACACACAUACAAACAGUAACAUUUUAUAGCCGACAACAAAAUAGAUGUGUUCUUUUAGUAUCGGUACCAAUUAUAAACAAAGCAGAUGUGAUGUACUGUAAUUCACUAAUAAAGUAUUAGGCCAUUUUUCCACUUGUUCUGGUUUAUAUCGCCACUGCCGUAUAUAUAUAUCUAAUUUAAAAAUGUUCCUGUAGCACACUAAAUUUAACAUACCUGACAUAAGUCCUCAUAGUAGUGUUUUGUUAUGUUCUCCUUGUAAUUACUGUAAAAUAGCUGCUGGGAGACAACUAUUUCUUAAACCAUUAUUUACUGAGGAAAGUGUUGCUGAGCAUGCACGCCUCUUUACAGCAGUGCCCUGCUUCCUAUUAAUAUUGUUACACACUUCACUGUGUUGGAGCUGCCCCGUUCUACCGUUCACUGCUCAGAUCUAUGGUCCGGGUCCCGACAGCAACAUUUUCUCUCCCCAAAUUACCUCCUCUCUUGGACUUUCGGGAAUAUGUUUGUCAACUCUAACCCUUGUGAUGGUAAUGCUAAAUUAAAACCCAACCCAAGACUAACUGGCGAGUUUUUAGCAGGGUGACCUUUGUAAAUUUAAGACAGUUUUCAUAUGUUUGUAACGUACGUGUCUCAAUAAAGGAUGAUGACCCAAUGUACGCUUAAUCAACAUCUGCCACUUUGAAAUAAGCCAACUGGCCAAAUCAGAGUCAUUGCUCAGAGAUGCCAACUUGGCAUGAGGGUGUAAAUCACCCCAAUUACAUGCUGAAGACAGGAUGUCUUUCCUAAUUAUGGAGAUGGAUAGGAAAAAGAUUUCAAAUUUCUAUGGGUGGUGGAAAGAUGUGUGUGACUGAGAGUCUGUGCGCCAUGCCAUUUUAGCUUCCCUCUCCACACCGAAGACAUAAUGUAGAAAUGUAAAGUGAGUUCAGACUUUCCACAUUCUGUCUACUUUCAUUAGCAGCUGCAAUUAUAGAGUAGGACUGUGCAAUUUGACCAAAAUAUCAUAUCCUGAUAUACGUCACUCCACACCCUGAUAACAUAUAUUACAGUGUAUAUAGCACAUAUUCUGUAAGUAUAAUUACUGCACAGAAAAGCUUAUUUUUAUUACUUUAUACAUGCAUCCACUGUCCAUUAAUAUAAGAAGGUAAAAACUGUCAGACACCAUUAUAUUUAAUGUGUAACAUCCUAAGUAUGCCUCAAGAGAAUGUCUUAAAAUUUGGUGGAAAAUUUGGUGGCAAAAUGUCAAGGACACUGUGACCUCAUGUCUAAUCUUUCUUAUGGAUGUAAUAUCUUAAGCAAUAAGCCUUGGGAUUUUUUUUUUUUUUUUUUUUUGGCACAAAUAUUCACUUGGGCUCAAGGAGGAAUGAAUUUAAUCUUGGUAGCCAAAGGUCAAGUUUACUGUGACCUGAUAAAACACAUAUUUUGGCCAUAACACAAAAAAAUACACAAAAUAUGAAUAAAUCUGAUGUAAUUUCACACA